AGGAGCAAGGGAAUGGGGUGGAUGUUGGAGCAUCCCAAACUAUUAUGAACUUAGAGCUUUGAUAAGAAAGGCAGCAGUAUAACAUGGAGAGGCAAGAAGAUCCUUUUGACAUUUUGUGAAUAUUGAGGAAUGUAGCAGUAAGCUUGACAUGUGAUGUUGCGACAUUUAUGGCUGAAAAUGGCAGAGGAAACGGAAGCAUCAAGAGGAAGAAGAUAACAGAUACAAAAGCUCCAGGAAGCUCUUAUGAGACACGGGAAG